AGAUAAAAAUCUAUCAUAAUAAAAUUUAACAUAUAAAAAGCGUAAGAUAAAAACCUCGCAUUUGAGUAAACUUGUGCUUUACUUAUGCAGACAAAAGGCAUGAAGCAGCCAGCUUAGUAAACUUUUUACCAGUCUCCAGUCCUAGAAGUAUUUAAAUGAAGCCUUGGAGUAAUGAGUCAUAGAUAAUUAUAUGGAAUAGCUAUAAUGACUCUAACUGGGUAGCCUAAGACAUAGUUAUUGAUUUCUCGGGACCCAGUCUCAGUUGAAAAACAAAUAGCACUUUGUUUAUUUAUAUUAUACCUGCACAUACCAAAAAAUUACAAAAUUACCCAUGUUAGGGGGAGCCAUUGAUGGUACUCAUAUUUUUAUAAAACCCCCAAGAGAUGGCUAUAAGGAUUUUAUAAAUAGAAAGGGAUGGGCAUCAUAUAAUGAACAAGCAGUAGUUAACCAUAGAAGCAUCUAAAUGUUUUUGUAUUAAGUAAUUGCAUUCUAAAUGUUUUGGCCCAGUAUUCAGGCUCAGCUCAUGAUGUCACUAUUUUAAAAGCCUUAAACUUAUACAAACACCAUAAAAAAGUUUUGCCUCAGGAAAAAAAUAUUGAAUAACAUACAGAUUAAAUAUAUGAUAAUGGGAGAUCCAGCCUACCCUAUUCCUGACUGGAUUCUUAAACGAUAUUCAGGAACGUUCAGUAGAGAGGAAGAAUGCUUUGAUGUUUACCUAAAUUCUUGCAGAGUAGCUGUGGAGUAGGCAUUUAAAAGAUUAAAAGCCAAAUUCAGGAUUCUACAAAAAAGAAUUGAUACCAACGAUAAAUUUGUACCAAAGAUAAUAAUUUUUUUUUUCUCAAUCUGUUUUGUUAUGAUUAAUUUUGGUAAUGUGUGUAAAUUUUAUGGUAAAGUGUUUUAGAUGCUAUGUUUGUUUGAAAUUUGAAAUUUAAAGUGAAUUUGGAAUUUUUUAGUUUUUAGGAUGCUUGUACACAAGAUUUUGUUGUAUUACGUAAUAUAGCACAUUUUCUUUC